rnacentral:rRNA from 1 species
AGUGAACGCUGGCGAUAGGCCUAACACAUGCAAGUCGAACGGCAGCACAGUAAGAGCUUGCUCUUACGGGUGGCGAGUGGCGGGCGGGUGAGGAAUACAUCGGAAUCUACUUUUUCGUGGGGGAUAACGUAGGGAAACUUACGCUAAUACCGCAUACGACCUACGGGUGAAAGCAGGGGAUCUUCGGACCUUGCGCGAUUGAAUGAGCCGAUGUCGGAUUAGCUAGUUGGCGGGGUAAAGGCCCACCAAGGCGACGAUCCGUAGCUGGUCUGAGAGGAUGAUCGGCCACACUGGAACUGAGACACGGUCCAGACUCCUACGGGAGGCAGCAGUGGGGAAUAUUGGACAAUGGGCGCAAGCCUGAUCCAGCCAUACCGCGUGGGUGAAGAAGGCCUUCGGGUUGUAAAGCCCUUUUGUUGGGAAAGAAAAGCAGCAGGUUAAUACCCCGCUGUUCUGACGGUACCCAAAGAAUAAGCACCGGCUAACUUCGUG